rnacentral:rRNA from 1 species
CCUGGUUGAUUCUGCCAGUAGUCAUAUGCUUGUCUCAAAGAUUAAGCCAUGCAUGUCUAAGUAUAAGCAACUUUGUACUGUGAAACUGCGAAUGGCUCAUUAAAUCAGUUAUAGUUUAUUUGAUGGUUUUUGCUACAUGGAUAACUGUGGUAAUUCUAGAGCUAAUACAUGCAUUCAAGCCCCGACUUCUGGAAGGGGUGUAUUUAUUAGAUAAAAAUCAACUUUGUUGGUGAAUCAUAAUAACUUCUCGGACCGCAUGGCCUUGUGCUGGCGGUGCUUCAUUCAAAUAUCUGCCCUAUCAACUGUCGAUGGUAGGAUAGAGGCCUACCAUGGUUGCAACGGGUAACGGGGAAUAAGGGUUCGAUUCCGGAGAGGGAGCCUGAGAAACGGCUACCACAUCCAAGGAAGGCAGCAGGCGCGCAAAUUACCCAAUCCCGACACGGGGAGGUAGUGACAAUAUGUAACAAUAUACGGCCUUAUACGUCGUAUAAUUGGAAUGAGUACAAUUUAAAUCCCUUAACGAGGAACAAUUGGAGGGCAAGUCUGGUGCCAGCAGCCGCGGUAAUUCCAGCUCCAAUAGCGUAUAUUAAAGUUGUUGCAGUUAAAAAGCUCGUAGUUGGACCUUGGACCUGGACAGGCGGUCCGCCUCACGGCGAGUACUGUCUUGCUGGGUCUUUCCUCUUGGUGAUCUGUUGUUUCGGCAGCAGGGAACCAGGACCUUUACUUUGAAAAAAUUAGAGUGUUCAAAGCAGCUCGACGCCGGAAUAUAUUAGCAUGGAAUAAUAAAAU